CAUGUCNAGAUCGAACGGUGAACACGGCAGUCUUGCUCUGUGGGAUCAGUGGCGAACGGGUGAGUAACACGUGAGCAACCUGCCCCUGACUCUGGGAUAAGCGCUGGAAACGGCGUCUAAUACUGGAUAUGUGACGUGACCGCAUGGUCUGCGUCUGGAAAGAAUUUCGGUUGGGGAUGGGCUCGCGGCCUAUCAGCUUGUUGGUGAGGUAAUGGCUCACCAAGGCGUCGACGGGUAGCCGGCCUGAGAGGGUGACCGGCCACACUGGGACUGAGACACGGCCCAGACUCCUACGGGAGGCAGCAGUGGGGAAUAUUGCACAAUGGGCGCAAGCCUGAUGCAGCAACGCCGCGUGAGGGACGACGGCCUUCGGGUUGUAAACCUCUUUUAGCAGGGAAGAAGCGAAAGUGACGGUACCUGCAGAAAAAGCGCCGGCUAACUACGUGCCAGCAGCCGCGGUAAUACGUAGGGCGCAAGCGUUAUCCGGAAUUAUUGGGCGUAAAGAGCUCGUAGGCGGUUUGUCGCGUCUGCUGUGAAAUCCGGAGGCUCAACCUCCGGCCUGCAGUGGGUACGGGCAGACUAGAGUGCGGUAGGGGAGAUUGGAAUUCCUGGUGUAGCGGUGGAAUGCGCAGAUAUCAGGAGGAACACCGAUGGCGAAGGCAGAUCUCUGGGCCGUAACUGACGCUGAGGAGCGAAAGGGUGGGGAGCAAACAGGCUUAAAUACCCUGGUAGUCCACCCCGUAAACGUUGGGAACUAGUUGUGGGGUCCAUUCCACGGAUUCCGUGACGCAGCU
rnacentral:rRNA from 1 species